rnacentral:rRNA from 1 species
GACGAACGCUGGCGGCGUGCUUAACACAUGCAAGUCGAACGGAAAGGCCCUGCUUUUGUGGGGUGCUCGAGUGGCGAACGGGUGAGUAACACGUGAGUAACCUGCCCUUGUCUUUGGGAUAACCUCAGGAAACUGGGGCUAUUACCGGAUAGGAGCUCCUGCUGCAUGGUGGGGGUUGGAAAGUUUCGGCGGUUGGGGAUGGAAUGGCUGCUUAGCAGCUUGUUGGUGGGGUAGUGGCUUACCAAGGCUUUGAGGGGUAGCCGGCCUGAGAGGUCGACCGGCCACAUUGGGACUGAGAUACGGCCCAGACGCCUACGGGAGGCAGCGGUGGGGAAUAUUGCACAAUGGGCGGGAGCCUGAUGCAACAACGCCGCGUGCGGGAAGACGGCCUUCGGGUUGUAAACCGCUUUCGCCUGUGACGAAGCGUGAGUGACGGUAAUGGGUAAAGAAGCACCGGCUAACUACGUG